UGCAAUAAAAUAUUAUUUACCUCAGUUACUGAGUUUUUUGGCACCCCUAAAUUUUGUCCGUGAGGCGAGGACCUCCCUCGACUCACCCUAGUUCAAGCCAUGGUAAUGUAUCAAUGCCUGGCUUGUUUGCCCCACAGGAAGACGAUGCUGAAGGGUCACCUAGCACCACAGUCCCUGUGGGCUCAGCUGAGACCUGUCUUGUGACUUCAUCCCAGUUCAGUCCUGCUUCCCUCAAUCCCAUAACAGUGUUAUGCUCAAGAGGACUGCUGCAGGUACUGGUUAUUUCUUAAAAGAACCUCACUGGCACUAAAAGCAGGAAGAAUCAAUUCAACAAAGAAGAGAAACUCACAAACACUCUUUAAAUCAAUUCAACAAAGAAGAGAAACUCACAAACACUCUUUAUACUUUUCCAAAAGAUUCUUCUAAGAAAGUCAGUUUCUGUAAUACUAUGCGUUAACAUGGGUAGUUUACCCUGAAUUUGCAAAACUCACCAUGUUUUUUGAGUUAAUAAAUUUCACAAAAUGUUUAUUAAAAAUGUUUUCUUUUUUAUAAAUAUUUUCAUGGAAACUUACUCAAACCUUUGAAAUAACAGAGAAUAUCACAAAAAUGUUUAACAGAGACCAAUAGUAUUUUAAACAUAUUUCCUGAAAGAAACAAUAUCCCUUAGAAAAGAUAUAGGGUACUUACCUAUCUAGAUUUUAACAAAAUAUUCUUUAUAGAAAUGGGUUAUAAUCUUUACCACAGAAACACCAAAUCUGCACCUAAUCAGGAGAGAGAAUUAAAUAAACCAGCUCUCAUUCACUUUCUCCAUCGGAAGACAUCCAUUU
rnacentral:lncRNA from 1 species